UAGCCUAGUGGUUGAGGCUGUGGAUCGCCAAUCCGGAGACGGCGGGUUCGAUUCCCGU
rnacentral:tRNA from 1 species